AUACGGUAGGGGGCUAGCGUUAUCCGGAUUUACUGGGCGUAAAGGGUGCGUAGGUGGUUUCUUAAGUCAGGAGUGAAAGGCUACGGCUUAACCGUAGUAAGCCUUUGAAACUGGGAAACUUGAGUGCAGGAGAGGAGAGUGGAAUUCCUAGUGUAGCGGUGAAAUGCGUAGAUAUUAGGAGGAACACCAGUUGCGAAGGCGGCUCUCUGGACUGUAACUGACACUGAGGCAACGAAAGCGGUGGGGAGAC
rnacentral:rRNA from 1 species